UACGUAGGGUGCAAGCGUUAAUCGGAAUUACUGGGCGUAAAGCGUGCGCAGGCGGUGAUGUAAGACAGAUGCGAAAUCCCCGGGCUCAACCUGGGAACUGCAUUUGUGACUGUAGAGCUGGAGUACGGCAGAGGGGGAUGGAAUUCCGCGUGUAGCAGUGAAAUGCGUAGAUAUGCGGAGGAACACCGAUGGCGAAGGCAAUCCCCUGGGCCUGUACUGACGCUCAUGCACGAAAGCGUGGGGAGCAAACAGG
rnacentral:rRNA from 1 species